ensembl:lncRNA
GGAAGCUAUUGCCCAUCCCUCCCCCGGUGGGACUGUCAUCCUCUGGGCCUCCUGGAUGAGAGUACUGGUGCCCACGUGGGUGCAAAAGGACCUUGUGGACCUGGACGCAUGUACACACCAAGGAAGAACAUGUGGUUGAGGGUAUUUCCUGCAUGUGACACCCGCCUCCAAUUUCAUAGAUAUGAUGCCACAGUGGCCUGGAGACCUCUGGAGGAAGCACCUGCUGGGAUAAUCCCUAGCCCACAGGCAAGAUGCAGACCAUCCCCGAUGGGCACAAUCGCGUCUCUGGGGUCAAAACCGGGGAAGAAUGGAAGGUUGUGUCUGAACCCAGGUGUGUUUCCAGGCUGGGGCCCUGGCUGCACACAGUCCUUCCCUGGGGCCUGUGGAGAGGCGUGCGGUUGUGUCACUGUGUGCACACAGGCCACUGCCUGCAGGGAGGGGGGAGCCAUCGGCAGCCCCAAACGCUGCUCCUGAAGCUUCCCCCAGGAGUGGACUCAGGUAGAGGGUCCCAGGCAGUGAGGUCACUUCCUUGACACAGAGCCCAACAGAACUUGGAACCCCUGUAACCAGGCACCCGCAUUCUAGUGCAGCCCCACCUCAGGCUCACUUGGCUGGAGACAUCUGCUACUGAAAGGUGUUCUCUUGCUGCUUUCCCACUUCUGGGGACUCUGGCUUCCAGGAACCCCAGGGAUGCAGCUUGUUCAAAUGCUGUAGACGUUGGCUCCACCAACGUCCUCAGGGCGUUUAAUAGGAGGCGUCGGAAGGUAAUACAGAGCAGCACAGGCCAGGCCAGGCCACCUGUGCCAGCCAUUCUGGGCAGCCCAUCCCCUCCUCUUCAGUUUCAGGGAAACAGGGAUGUGUGGGCAGGUCGCAUCCAGGCUGGAGGACGUUGCAGGGCAGCAGGUUCCCCGGUGGGUGAUCCCUUCAGGGUCACCUGAUGUCAUGGUGGGCAGGGUGGAAACAGGAUUCCUGAGGUGCCUCUUACCCAACCCAGAGUUAACCCAAGGCGCUGCAGCCGCAUCCCUUUGCUCUUCUUGGGGGAGGUGUGCACCGACUGUGCUGUGGUGUGUCUGCAAUGGGGUCAGCUGGGUGUGCAGCCCAGCCAAGGCAGCCAGACCGGGCGCUGAGGCCUCCUGCCUGGCUGCCGGGCACUGUCUUCACAGAGCUCCACACAGGACCGGGGGCUGGAGUGGGAGGAACGGAUCGUCUGCCUCAUGGCCUCGAGGAACUGGGAAUUGCCCUUGCACAGCUAACAGAGGCCAGCGUGGGCUCAACGGUGAAAGGGCCUCAACCGUGAAGUGGAAUCAGAUCUGCCCAAUGAAGCCCAGCCGGACAGAGCUGCUGGAGCACGAAGUACAAGAACUGCUGCCCGCCUUGCUGCGCAGGGACAUCAUCUAUAUUUUCAAUUUCUUAGAGGACUAUCAUGUAUUUGGCAGCACUGCAGAGGUGCUAGACCUGCUGUAUAGCAAAGAAGCCCCAGCAGGUGCAGGUGCUUCUCCUGGAGCUGCCCGUGGCCCCGUGCACAGAGCUGACGGCCCCCCAGGGCUCUGGACUAGUCAGGUGUCAGAGGGUGACAGCCCCCAUGAUGAGAGGUCGCGUCCACAGGAUGAUUCAUGUGAUGCCCCCCACCCUCCUCUACAUAUGGAUGCAUCGUAGCUGCCUCUGAGGAGAACGACAGAGUCCCGGAGCAGUGGAAAAUGGCCAUCUUCUGCAUCCUGGACAUUUGGCUGGACUGCUAACCAGAGGAUUUUCAUCAGCUCCCAGAAUUUACCUCCCUGACCAAGCUGCUGGCAUUCAUGGGGCAGCACAUGCCAGGCUCAGACCUGGAAAACCAUGCCUGGUAUUACCUCAAACAAUUCAGACACCUCCAUCCAGUGGAGCCAGAGGCUGCGGGUGAGGAGGACUGGGGCUGGCUGAGUUGGGGACAGUGUGGACCCCACAGAUCAAGCCUCUGUGCAGCUGGGCCAGGAGCAGUGGGUAGGCUCACACCCCCAUCCCCACGGGCUGCAGUCUGGGGAGACCUCCCAGGGCUCUUGCACUCACACACAUUGAGCGGUGGGAAGAGUGUCCUUGAUUUGUGAAGGACGUGGAAAGUCCAUCCUGGUGAUGAUACUUUGUCUUCUUGGAGCGACAGCUUCGGCUGGAGAACAAUACCCUGAACCACUUCAAGAGCCCGCCCCAGCUCUGAAUGUGGGGCUUGCUGCACCUUCAGGGCCUGAGGUGAUCGAGCCGGUCCUGGUUGCUGGAGCUGAGAGCUUAGCCCGAGCCAAGAUGCCAGCUGCUGAGUCGAAGCCCCUGCAGAUAGUGGUAACUGCUCUAGUUCACUGUUCUGCCCUGGAGGAGCCACCUGCACCCUUGAGAGCCCUGGAGGAUGAACAGGCACCAGCAUCCGCUAUCGAGGUCACCGAUGUGCUGGAGCAGUCACCUAACUCAAUGGAGCAACUGGCUUUGGACCCCGAGCAACACCCUGAAACACCCCAAGAGCCUGCCCCAGCUCCAACUGUGGGGCCUGCUGAAGCUUCAGGGCCUGAAGUGAUCAAGCUGGUCCCGGCUGCUGGAGCUGAGGGCUUGGCCUGUGCCAAGAUGCUGGCUCCUGAGUCCAAAUCAGUGCAUGUGGUGGCCGCACCUCUGAUUCCCUGCCCGGAUGAGGAGGAGCCACCUGCACCCUUGGCCACCCCAGAGGAGGAAUAGGCCCUGGCGCCUGUAAUCGGGUCCCCAAAGUGCCAGAGUCACCACCUGCUCUUGGAGCAACUGGCUUUGACCCCUGAGCAACACCCUGAACCACCUCAAGAGUCCACCCCAGCUCCUACCGCGGGGCUCAUGAUGGCUGCAGCCCAACGGAAGGCUUGCCCUCCCCUGUCAUUGCACUGUUUCUAUAUUUUGUGUUUUUCAUCAACCUCUAUAAUGGCUUAGGAAUUUUAUUUGUAAUAAAGGAUGUUAACUUCACA